CCCUUAGAUGUUCUGGGCUGCACACGUGCUACACUGGCAGGUUCAGCGAGCUUCAUGCCCUGAUCUGAAAGGAAUGGGAAAUCUUUUCAAAACCUGCCGUGCUUGGGAUAGAUGUUUGCAAUUAUUCAUCUUCAACGAGGAUUGCCUUGUAAGCGCACGUCAUCAGCGUGCAUUGAAUACGACCCUGUAUUCUGUACACACCGCCCGUCGCUCCUACCGAUUGAAGUUUUCGGUGAGUUGACAGGAGGAUUUUUUUGAAACUGGUUCGCCAGUGGAUUUUAGAUGCAAAUGCCAACGAAUCGAUGGCUUUAGAGGAAGGAGAAGUCGUAACA
rnacentral:rRNA from 1 species